rnacentral:misc_RNA from 1 species
UUCGGUAUCCUGUGUUGCUUACCUAUCGAAAGGAAUCCGACGGUUUCGUUGGUCCCUCUCCGCCCUAUGCCCUCGCGGGUUGUGGGGUGGACGUCAGGCAAGCCUCGUGUUCCCGGCACGCUUCGCCCAGUUGCGUGGCUGCCUCGGCCCACGGGGUGCACUGCCCGUGCUCUCGGAUGCGGAACGUUAUGCGUGGGCGUGGGGUCUGUUGGCUCCGUUCGCCCGAGCAACGCACUUGUCCAUCGACGCGAACGACCGUCGCUCCCGUCUCGAGCCCGCGGCCGUCCGGCCCGUCGGGUCUCGUGCGGGCGUCGACGUCGCGAA